rnacentral:sRNA from 1 species
CUGGACCUGGAUGCGCUGAGUGAGAACAAGAUCGGGGACGAGGGUGUCUCGCAGCUCUCAGCCACCUUCCCCCAGCUGAAGUCCUUGGAAACCCUCAAACAAGGGCUCGCUGUGUCACCCAGGCUAGAAUAUAGUGCUAUGAUCAUAGCUCUGCAGCCUUGAACUCCUGGCCUCAAAGAAUCUCCUCACCUCAGCUUCCCAAAGUUCUGGGAUUAUAGGUGUGACUUACCAUGCCCAGCCCCAGUGGAUUCAUCCAUUCAUUCAUUCAUUCAUUCACUCAUUCACCUAUUCAAUCAGCCAUUCAUCCUUCCGUUCAAUGAUUCAUCUAUUCACUCAUGCAGUCAUUUCCUUAUUAAUUACCCAACCAUUUGUUAAUUUAAUCAACAAAUAUUUAAGGAGGACCUACUACGUGCAGGCACCUUUCUAGGCCCUGGAGACCCAGCUUUAAACAAAACAAAUAAAUCCCCUGAUCUCAGGAAUCUUAAAUUCUAGUGAGGAGACACAAUGAACAAGUAAACAAGUCAGUAAUUAUAAAGUAUACAG